AGCAGCCGCGGUAAUUCCAGCUCCAAUAGCGUAUAUUAAAGUUGUUGCAGUUAAAAAGCUCGUAGUUGAAUUUCGGGAUCAAUUAGUCGGUCGUGCCUCUGGUACGUACUGGUUUUAUUGGUUCCUCCCUUCUGACGAAACAUGAUGUCAUUAAUUUGGUGUCGUGGAGAAUCAGGACUGUUACCUUGAAAAAUUAGAGUGUUUAUAGCAGGCUAACGCUUGAAUACAUUAGCAUGGAAUAAUGAAAUAGGACGUUCGACCCUAUUUUGUUGGUUUCUAGGAUCGACGUAAUGAUUAAUAGGGAUAGUUGGGGGCAUUAGUAUUCAAUUGUCAGAGGUGAAACUCUUGGAUUUAUUGAAGACUAACUACUGCGAAAGCAUUUGCCAAGGAUGUUUUCAUUAAUCAAGAACGAAAGUUAGGGGAUCGAAGACGAUCAGAUACCGUCGUAGUCUUAACCAUAAACUAUGCCGACUAGGGAUCGGAUGAUGUUAAUUUUUAAUGACUCAUUCGGCGCCUUAAC
rnacentral:rRNA from 1 species